rnacentral:rRNA from 1 species
UAGGGAAUCUUCGGCAAUGGACGAAAGUCUGACCGAGCAACGCCGCGUGCGUGAAGAAGGUUUUCGGAACGUAAAACUCUGUUGUUAGAGAAGAACAAGGACGUUAGUAACUGAACGUCCCCUGACGGUAUCUAACCAGAAAGCCACGGCUAACUACGUGCCAGCAGCCGCGGUAAUACGUAGGUGGCAAGCGUUGUCCGGAUUUAUUGGGCGUAAAGCGAGCGCAGGCGGUUUCUUAAGUCUGAUGUGAAAGCCCCCGGCUCAACCGGGGAGGGUCAUUGGAAACUGGGAGACUUGAGUGCAGAAGAGGAGAGUGGAAUUCCAUGUGUAGCGGUGAGAUGCGUAGAUAUAUGGAGGAACACCAGUGGCGAAGGCGGCUCUCUGGUCUGUAACUGACGCUGAGGAUCGAAAGCGUGGGGAGCAAACAGG